UACGUAGGCAGCGAGCGUUGUUCGGAGUUACUGGGCGUAAAGGGUGUGUAGGCGGUUUUCUAAGUUUGGUGUGAAAUCUCCCGGCUCAACCGGGAGGGUGCGCCGAAAACUGGGAGACUAGAGUGCGGGAUGGGAGAGUAGAAUUCCUGGUGUAGCGGUGAAAUGCGUAGAUAUCAGGAGGAAUACCGGUGGUGUAGACGGCUCUCUGGACCGCCACUGACGCUGAGACACGAAAGCGUGGUUAGCAAACAGG
rnacentral:rRNA from 1 species